CAAUUUUAAAUAUAUCUGAAUUUUAACGUAAAAUUUGCUGCAUAGCAAGUAUUCUCACUGAAUUAUGGCCCAAACUGUAUAAGUAUAGUCUUAAUUCAUGGUUUUUUGAUAUGUGCUUCUCACUAUUUUCUGGUAAAAUAUUGUUGCCAUUUAUAUUGAUGUUUUUAAAGGUCAAAAGUGUAUUGAUGUAUUCUAGAUCUUUUUGGGCUAAUUUGGCCUUACCAAGGAUAAACAUAAAAUUACGAUCUACAUCUGCCAGAGGCAACAUAUUGUAUGAUGCUUUGAAGUGCAAAAACUAAAACUUACCAAGCAUGG
rnacentral:lncRNA from 1 species